rnacentral:tRNA from 1 species
GGAGGGCUACACCUUAGUGGCAGGCAGCCGUCUUGAAAACCGCCGGGGGAAACCCCUUCCGGGUUCGAGUCCCGGGCCCUCCG